UACGUAGGGGGCAAGCGUUGUCCGGAUUCAUUGGGCGUAAAGAGCGUGUAGGCGGCCAGGUAGGUCGGUUGUGAAAACUGGAGGCUCAACCUUCAGAGGUCGACCGAAACCAUCUGGGCUAGAGUCCGGGAGAGGAGAGUGGAAGUUCCUGGUGUAGCGGUGAAAUGCGCAGAUAUCAGGAGGAACACCGAUGGCGAAGGCAGGUCUCUGGGCCACUACUGACGCUGAGAAGCGAAAGCAUGGGGAGCGAACAGG
rnacentral:rRNA from 1 species